AGUGAACGCUGGCGGUAGGCCUAACACAUGCAAGUCGAACGGCAGCACAGUAAGAGCUUGCUCUUACGGGUGGCGAGUGGCGGACGGGUGAGGAAUACAUCGGAAGCUGCUGUUUCGUGGGGGAGAACGUAGGGAAACUUACGCUAAUACCGCAUACGACCUACGGGUGAAAGCAGGGGAUCUUCGGACCUUGCGCGAUUGAAUGAGCCGAUGUCGGAUUAGCUAGUUGGCGGGGUAAAGGCCCACCAAGGCGACGAUCCGUAGCUGGUCUGAGAGGAUGAUCAGCCACACUGGAACUGAGACACGGUCCAGACUCCUACGGGAGGCAGCAGUGGGGAAUAUUGGACAAUGGGCGCAAGCCUGAUCCAGCCAUACCGCGUGGGUGAAGAGGGCCUUCGGGUUGUAAAGCCCUUUUGUUGGGAAAGAAAAGCAGCAGGUUAAUACCCCGCUGUUCUGACGGUACCCAAAGAAUAAGCACCGGCUAACUUCGUG
rnacentral:rRNA from 1 species